rnacentral:rRNA from 1 species
CCCUUAGAUGUUCUGGGCAGCACGCGCGCUACAAUGGUCUUCGCAAACGGAUGCAUUCUCGAAGGAGAAUGCCAAUCUUGGAAUCUAUGCCUUGGUCGGGACAGUUGCUUGCAAUUUUUCGACUCGAACCAGGAAUUCCUUGUAAUCGUGAUUCAUCACAUCACGAUGAAUACGUCCCUGCCCUUUGUACACACCGCCCGUCGCUCCUACCGAUCGAAUGCUCAGGUGAGCCAUUCGGACUUUCAUCAUGCUGGUUUCCAGUUUUGAUGAAGGAAAGUCUUGCGAACCUUAUCAUUUAGAGGAAGGAGAAGUCGUAACA